CCUUGUUUUUUAAGCGGACGGGAGCCGCAGUGACCAGGUGGCUGGGACUGUUUAUUAAAACCACAGCCCUGUGCAAAAUCGCAAGAUGAGGUAUACGGUGUGACACCUGCCCGGUGCCGGAAGGUUAAUUGAUGGGGUUAUCCUUAGGGAGAAGCUCUUGAUCGAAGCCCCGGUAAACGGCGGCCGUAACUAUAACGGUCCUAAGGUAGCGAAAUUCCUUGUCGGGUAAGUUCCGACCUGCACGAAUGGUGUAACCAUGGCCACGCUGUCUCCACCCGAGACUCAGUGAAAUUGAAAUCGCAGUGAAGAUGCUGUGUACCCGCGGCUAGACGGAAAGACCCCGUGAACCUUUACUACAGCUUGGCACUGAACAUUGAACCUACAUGUGUAGGAUAGGUGGGAGACUUUGAAGAUGAGACGCUAGUUUUGUUGGAGUCAACCUUGAAAUACCACCCUUGUAGUUUUGAUGUUCUAACGUUGGCCCCUGAAUCGGGGUUACGGACAGUGCCUGGUGGGUAGUUUGACUGGGGCGGUCUCCUCCUAAAGAGUAACGGAGGAGCACGAAGGUUGGCUAAGUACGGUCGGACAUCGUACGGUUAGUGUAAUGGUAGAAGCCAGCUUAACUGCGAGACAGACACGUCGAGCAGGUACGAAAGUAGGUCAUAGUGAUCCGGUGGUUCUGAAUGGAAGGGCCAUCGCUCAACGGAUAAAAGGUACUCCGGGGAUAACAGGCUGAUACCGCCCAAGAGUUCAUAUCGACGGCGGUGUUUGGCACCUCGAUGUCGGCUCAUCACAUCCUGGGGCUGAAGUCGGUCCCAAGGGUAUGGCUGUUCGCCAUUUAAAGUGGUACGCGAGCUGGGUUUAGAACGUCGUGAGACAGUUCGGUCCCUAUCUGCCGUGGGCGUUUGAGAAUUGAGAGGGGUUGCUCCUAGACGAGAGGACCGCUCGAGCCGAAUNCUGUCCUUCGGCUUUUCCCA
rnacentral:rRNA from 1 species